GACCCAGAGUUAAUUUUGAGCAAAGCAGAGGGCCCUUAUUUUGCAGAUACUGCAAGAAAUCUUGGCCCUUAAUUGAUAAGUGCUACAAGAUCCACGGGUUUCCUCAAAACAUAAAAUACAACAAGGGAAGGAAAUCCGCCGUUGCUCAUAUCUCCACUUGUGAGGAAAGUGUGUCUGUUAAUCAUGGGAAUCCUAAUAUGUCUGUUUCUCUUGGGGAUCCUCCUGCCAGCCAUCACCAUGUUUCACACAUAGAUGGUCACAGCUCUGUGAUACCAGGGUUGAGCAGACACCAAUAUGAUCAAUUGA
rnacentral:lncRNA from 1 species